rnacentral:lncRNA from 1 species
AUACUAUUACGAUACACAUUACAUAUACAUGUAUUAUGUUUUAUAUAUAUAUAUAUAUAUUGUUAUUAUCAUAUUUUAUCAGCGCGCGACGGACGGAGGAGUGAGGAGGACUACGUCGUUCGUCACGCGGCGUGUCGGCGGCGGCGGGAGGAGCACAAUGGAACAAGGUUGCCAGGCAGCCGAGAACAGCUGAGCGGUGUUGGCCGACUUGUCGUGUGCGCCGUGCGGAAAGUCGACCGAACGUACACCACGACUGUGAACUCUUUUCUAUGGGUGCACUAGUGCAUUGUUACACUGGUGCGCGCGUGGAUGUAGAUAAUAAAGAAUAUGAUAUUAAUCGAUGAGAAAACGUCUGCCUGGUUUGUUGCGAGUUUGAAACUUUUAAAAUCCUGUGCAUUAUUUUUCACUUAGUUCUUGAUGCAUUUUCUUUCACCAACUAUUCCCUACUCCCUUCAGAACUGACCCACCUCGAGGACAUCCAACAUUAGGCCAGACCGUUGAUAUUUAAGUAUUCAAAGCAUAUCCAAAGACUAAUUAAAAUUCAAUAUUAUAGUUUUAUAACAAGAUUGUUCAACUGUUCAAUAAAUACAAUUUGCAUUGUUCCUGAAAAUAAUAUUGGAUAUUUAUGUUCACAUGCUGUUCAUCUGAGUUGAAGAAUAUCAUGGAAGAAUAUUUUAACAGAAUUGAAACUAUAGAAGAUCCAAAGUUUACUUCAACAAUAAAGUUCAACAAUUAAAAGUAUAAUGAUGAUUGAUGAGUUGUUUUAAAAUUUGGCAAGACACAGUAUAUAAUAUUAUUCUAAUUUAGAUGCAUUCAAGUAUAAUCAUGGGUGAAAUUAAACAUUUUCACUAGAUU